UACGAAGGUGGCAAGCGUUGUUCGGAAUUAUUGGGCGUAAAGGGCGCGUAGGCGGGUUUGUAAGUCGGUUGUGAAAUCCCUAGGCUUAACCUGGGAAUUGCAUUCGAAACUGCAAGUCUUGAGUUCUCGAGAGGAUGGUGGAAUUCCUGGAGUAGAAGUGAAAUUCGUAGAUAUCAGGAGGAACACCGGAGGCGAAGGCGGCCAUCUGGCGAGAAACUGACGCUAAAGCGCGAAAGCGUGGGGAUCAAACAGG
rnacentral:rRNA from 1 species